rnacentral:lncRNA from 12 species
CCCCCCCCCCCCCCCCCCCCCCCCCCCCCCCCCCCCCCCCCCCCCCCCCCCCCCUGCGCCACCGAUCCCAGCGGGAAUCUCCUUUCCCCGUCUAAUGGGAAGAAAAGGCCUGGCUUUUGCUUUGCAAAGCAAGUUCCUGCAGAAAAGGAGGGCGGGAUCUCAUUCCCCAAGAAGCUGUUGAGUCACACGUCACAUGGAGAGCCCCUGUUGGAUGUCCCCCUGCUCCUUGCCAGGACAUGCCAUCCCUCAGCUUUGGUGACAUCCUGGUGACUGCCCCUUCCUGCAGCAGGGGACCUGACUGAUUCCUGGACAGCUGUGUGCCCCCAUUUCCCAUUCAAAGUUGUGUCUUUGAGUGUACUGAGAAGCAAAGGGGAGCUGGAGGUGCUCUGGCACUGAGGCAGUGAUUCCUGCCAGCCAUGUCCCCAGCUGAGCAGGUCCCACGGCCCACAGGGCUGUGCCAGUAGCCACGCUGGGAUUUCUGAGCCACAGGGUUCAUGUUGAGCGUGUUGUGUUUUAGGGUUUUGAGGAAAAUGCAGAGGCGGCACAGCAGCAACACUGACACCGUGCCUCCUGAAAGGUAAAUCCUUCCCACAGCAGCAACACUGACACCGUGCCUCCUGACAGGUAAAUCCUUCCUCUUCUUCUUUCCUCCGUGUUCCUCUCCCAAGGGAGUGUUCUGGUUUAAGAGUAGGGAGUGUUUUAGGAGAGUGAAAGCCCAAAACUGAGAAAGACAUCAAAUUCCUGUGUGUGUGGUGUGGCCAGGCUUUCUGCUCGAGUCUGGGGAUUCUAGAGACAAGUUUGCUUUUCUCCUUCCUGUCAGUCAGUGAUUGCUGCCAACCUCAGUGUUCCAGGAUGGUCCAGCAUGGCACAGCUGGCAGACAGCUGGCUGAGCAUGGGCAGGGUGUCUGGAGCUCUGGAGGAGGGGUUGGA